rnacentral:rRNA from 1 species
UACGUAGGGUGCAAGCGUUGUCCGGAUUUAUUGGGCGAAAGGGCUCGUAGGCGGUCCAUCGCGUCGGGAGUGAAAAGCUGGGGCUUAACCCCAGUCCUGCUUCCGAUACGGGUGGACUAGAGGUAGGUAGGGGAGAACGGAAUUCCUGGUGUAGCGGUGAAAUGCGCAGAUAUGAGGAGGAACGACCCGGUGGCGAAGGCGGGCUCCUUCUG